GUUGAACGGAAGCAUCCUAGUAGACCCAUCCAAAUCACACGAGAGGACCUCAGUAGCGGCGAGCGAACAGGU
rnacentral:rRNA from 1 species